rnacentral:rRNA from 1 species
UACGUAGGGGGCAAGCGUUGUCCGGAUUUACUGGGCGUAAAGAGCGUGUAGGCGGCCACGCAGGUCCGUUGUGAAAACUGGAGGCUCAACCUUCAGACGUCGACGGAAACCGUAUGGCUAGAGUCCGGAAGAGGAGAGUGGAAUUCCUGGUGUAGCGGUGAAAUGCGCAGAUAUCAGGAAGAACACCAAUGGCGAAGGCAGCUCUCUGGGGACGGUACUGACGCUGAGACGCGAAAGCGUGGGGAGCGAACAGG